rnacentral:rRNA from 1 species
GGGGUGCAGCAGGCGCGAAAACUUUACAAUGCGGGAAACCGUGAUAAGGGAAUCUCGAGUGCCAGCAUAUAAUGUUGGCUGUCCAGAUGCCUAAAAAGCAUCUGUUAGCAAGGGCCGGGCAAGACCGGUGCCAGCCGCCGCGGUAACACCGGCGGCCCGAGUGGUAACCGCUAUUAUUGGGUCUAAAGGGUCUGUAGCCGGCCAGGUAAGUCCCUUGGGAAAUCUGGCAGCUCAACUGUCAGGCUGCUAGGGGAUACUGUUUGGCUUGGGACCGGGAGAGGUGAGAGGUACCUUGGGGGUAGGGGUGAAAUCUUGUGAUCCUCGGGGGACCACCAGUGGCGAAGGCGUCUCACCAGAACGGGUCCGACGGUAAGGGACGAAAGCUAGGGGCACGAACCGGAUUAGAUACCCGGGUAGUCCUAGCCGUAAACGAUGCUCGCUAGGUGUCAGUCACGGUGCGACCGUGAUUGGUGCCGUAGGGAAGCCGUGAAGCGAGCCAC